AUACGUAGGUGGCAAGCGUUGUCCGGAAUUAUUGGGCGUAAAGCGCAUGUAGGCGGUUUGGUAAGUCGGUCGUGAAAAUGCGGUGCUUAACGCCGUAUGGCGAUUGAAACUGCUGAACUUGAGUGCAGGAGAGGAAAGGGGAACUCCCAGUGUAGCGGUGAAAUGCGUAGAUAUUGGGAAGAACACCGGUGGCGAAGGCGCCUUUCUGGACUGUGCCUGACUCUCAGAUGCGAAAGCCAGGGUAGCGAACGGAAUUAGAUACCCCGGUAGUCCGGGCUGUAAACGAUGGUUACUAGGUGUGGGAGGUAUCGACUUUUCCCGGGCCGGAGUUAACGAAAUAAGUACCCCGCCUGGGGAGUACGGCCGCAAGGCUUAAACUCAAAUGAAUUGACGGGG
rnacentral:rRNA from 1 species